rnacentral:rRNA from 1 species
GACGAACGCUAGCUACAGGCUUAACACAUGCAAGUCGAGGGGAAACGACAUCGAAAGCUUGCUUUUGAUGGGCGUCGACCGGCGCACGGGUGAGUAACGCUUAUCCAACCUGCCCACCACUUGGGGAUAACCUUGCGAAAGUAAGACUAAUACCCAAUGAUAUCUCUAGAAGGCAUCAGAAAGAGAUUAAAGAUUUAUCGGUGAUGGAUGGGGAUGCGUCUGAUUAGCUUGUUGGCGGGGUAACGGCCCACCAAGGCUACGAUCAGUAGGGGUUCUGAGAGGAAGGUCCCCCACAUUGGAACUGAGACACGGUCCAAACUCCUACGGGAGGCAGCAGUGAGGAAUAUUGGUCAAUGGACGAGAGUCUGAACCAGCCAAGUAGCGUGCAGGAUGACGGCCCUAUGGGUUGUAAACUGCUUUUAUAAGGGAAUAAAGUGAGUCUCGUGAGACUUUUUGCAUGUACCUUAUGAAUAAGAACCGGCUAAUUCCGUGCCAGCCGCCGCCGUAA